rnacentral:rRNA from 1 species
ACGACCAUAGGGUGUGGAAAACAGGGCUUCCCGUCCGCUCAGCCGUACUUAAGCCACACGCCGGGAGGUUAGUAGUUGGGUGGGUGACCACCAGCGAAUCCCUUCUGUUGUAUGUC